GGUGGGUUGCCGGAGCGGUCAAAACGGAGCCGCCUGUAAAGCGGCCGGCACUGCCUUCGCUGGUUCGAAUCCAGCACCCACCA
rnacentral:tRNA from 1 species